rnacentral:misc_RNA from 1 species
GUUAUAGACUACACUCACGCCCUUAAUAACUGACUCGUUUCAGUCCUCAUUCUCCAUCGUUUCAUUCUGUUUCUCUGCAAGAAACUGCCAUUUUUCUUCUUUCAGUUCCUUUCUCUAUCCUUCUAUUUUCUUGAAUAUCUUGUCAAUGGCGAUAGCGUCUCCGUCCACUCCAAGCUUCUCAGCUUCCUUCUGCUGCAAACGCGCUGAGUUCAAUCCUGUAUUUCGCUGCUUCUCCGUCGCUUUUACUCAUCGGAAUCUCCCGUUAACUCGUCGACUUGUCAUUUCUUCGCGUGUCCACUCAAAACCCUCGGAUGCUGGUGGCUCCGUUUCUCCUGACAACGGCGACGAGUUCAACGAGUACGAGAUGCCACAAGGAUUUGGAGCGGCGCAGCGAAGGAAGAAGGGAUCGUCGGUGUUCGUGAUGCUGCCGGUGGACAUAGUGGGAGUGGGAGGACAGGUGCGGAAAAAGAAGAUCAUGGUGCACUCGCUCAGAGCGCUGGCCGUGGCCGGGGUGGAGGGCGUGGUCAUUGAGUUGUGGUGGGGACUGGUGGAGAGGGACCAGCCUGGGGUUUACAACUGGCAACCUUAUUUGGAGCUUGUGGAGAUGGUGGAGAAGUGCGGCUUGAAGGUGAGAGUUGUCCUGGCCUUUCAUCAGAGAGGAAGCGGGCCUGAAGAUCCCAACUGGAUUUCACUCCCUCCUUGGGUGCUUAAUGAGAUUGACAAAAAUCCAGAUUUAGCUUACUCUGAUAGAUUGGGAAGAAGAAGUACUGAAUAUAUUUCCCUAGGAUGUGAUACUCUUCCUGUUUUAAGGGGACGAUCACCAGUCCAAGCAUAUGCCGAUUUUAUGAGGAACUUCAGAGAUACUUUUAGGCCUCUACUCGGUGAAAUCAUUAUGGGAGUCCAAGUUGGGAUGGGUCCUGCAGGUGAACUGAGAUAUCCUUUCUGCCCACCAGAGAAGCUAAAACAGGCGUGGCGAUCAGGUGAACUUGGAGAGUUUCACUGCUAUGAUAAGGUACACAAAUAUGUGAGCUUUAUUUACAAGUUUAAAAUGUUCCUCUAGCCUCUGGAGUAGGUUUCUUCAACCAUAUUAUUCUCUGCACUUUCCAACCACCCCUUCCUCCAGGCCCUUCGUCAUCCCUUAAUUAAAUCAUUGAUUUGAUGUCUUUCUUUUUCCCUUCUGAGUGCUAUGAACAGUACAUACUUGCAUCUCUGAAUGCUUGUGCUGGUGAAGCUGGAAUGCUGCGUGAAUGGGGAAAUGGAGGUCCAAUUGGUGUUAGUAGUUUGAUAAAUGAUCCUGAGAAUACUGAAUUUUUCAGAAGUCAUGACAGAACUUGGAAUAAACCGAAUGGAAAAUUUUUCCUUGAAUGGUACUCAGGGAUGUUGCUGCUUCAUGGGCAAAGGAUAUGUAUGGAUGUUGAGAACAUUUUUCGGGGUAUUGACAUUAAUACCUCUGCCAAAGUGGCUGUGAUACACUGGCAUUAUGGCACACAGUCUCAUCCAUCUGAGUUAACAGCUGGCUACUACAAUACUUCCACCAGAGAUGGGUACCUACCAAUUGCUCAGAUGUUCAGUAGGUAUCGGUUCACCAUGUGCUGUGCAGGUUUUGAAAUGCAAGAUGUGGAAGAGAAUCCUCUGAACCAAGUAAGUAGUCCAGGGGGUUUUCUUAAAAAGCUUUUAUGGGCUGCUAGGAUUUGUCGUGUCCCCUUGGAAGGCGAAAAUUCAACUGCUAUUUGGGAUGAUAAAUCGUUUCAACAGGUGCUAAAAAUGAGAAGGUUCUACUCGUAUGGUCUGAAAAGACCCUCCUUUUCUUUCAACUUUGUGAGGAUGGAAAAGAACAUGUUUGAACAACAUAACUGGGUUCGAUUUAGUAAUUUUGUAAGGAAAAUGUCAGAUGAUAAACUUUUUCUAGCCAAUUUAGGUUUUGGUGAUGAUAUGCAACUGUCUUUGAUGUCAGAUGAUGCAAAAUUUGGGGAAAGGUUUGCAGCUUGUUAAGGAAGCUCCAUUCCAUUUCCUCUACCAAGGCAAAUCUUAUACUUUGACCACCAUCAUUUGAAGUGUAUACCUUAUAGUAGUACAUAAUUCAAUGAUCUCUGUUCUUGUUGCGAAAUGUGUAGUAAAUGCCUCAUUUUUUUCACUAUGCUGCAUAGCU